rnacentral:rRNA from 1 species
AAAAAUAGUCUCGUUGGUGACCAGCGGAGGGUCAUUACCGAGUUUACAACUCCCAAACCCCUGUGAACAUACCUAUUUGUUGCCUCGGCGGUGCCUGUUCCGACAGCCCGCCAGAGGACCCCAAACCCUGAUUACAUUUAAGAAGUCUUCUGAGUAAACCGAUUAAAUAAAUCAAAACUUUCAACAACGGAUCUCUUGGUUCUGGCAUCGAUGAAGAACGCAGCGAAAUGCGAUAAGUAAUGUGAAUUGCAGAAUUCAGUGAAUCAUCGAAUCUUUGAACGCACAUUGCGCCCGCUAGUAUUCUGGCGGGCAUGCCUGUCCGAGCGUCAUUUCAACCCUCAAGCCCCCGGGCUUGGUGUUGGGGAUCGGCGAGCCUCCGCGCCCGCCGUCCCCUAAAUCUAGUGGCGGUCUCGCUGUAGCUUCCUCUGCGUAGUAGCACACCUCGCACUGGGAAACAGCGCGGCCACGCCGUUAAACCCCCAACUUCUGAACGUUUGACCUCGGAUCAGGUAGGAAUACCCGCUGAACUUAAGCAUAUCAAUAGGCGGAGGAA